rnacentral:rRNA from 1 species
GACGAACGCUGGCGGCGUGCCUAAUACAUGCAAGUUGAGCGCUGAAGGUUGGUACUUGUACCAACUGGAUGAGCAGCGAACGGGUGAGUAACGCGUGGGGAAUCUGCCUUUGAGCGGGGGACAACAUUUGGAAACGAAUGCUAAUACCGCAUAAAAACUUUAAACACAAGUUUUAAGUUUGAAAGAUGCAAUUGCAUCACUCAAAGAUGAUCCCGCGUUGUAUUAGCUAGUUGGUGAGGUAAAGGCUCACCAAGGCGAUGAUACAUAGCCGACCUGGGAGGGUGAUCGGCCACAUUGGGACUGAGACACGGCCCAAACUCCUACGGGAGGCAGCAGUAGGGAAUCUUCGGCAAUGGACGAAAGUCUGACCGAGCAACGCCGCGUGAGUGAAGAAGGUUUUCGGAUCGUAAAACUCUGUUGGUAGAGAAGAGCGUUGGUGAGAGUGGAAAGCUCAUCAAGUGACGGUAACUACCCAGAAAGGGACGGCUAACUACGUG